UCACAGAUCAGCUCUAUUCAGUAUGGAAAAGGACUACACAGAAACUUGAAUAACAUGAGGCAAGAAUCAAUGGGGACCAUCUUGGAUAAUGGUUAUUACCAAGAAGAUAAACACAAUAAUAAAUAGGAUAUUUAAGUGAUGACCAGUGCUCCAAUAACCAUGUUGGAAUAUGAAGCAACCUUGAAGAUGAAAGCUAUGCACUUAGAAUGAGGAGUAGAAACUUAAACACUAAGGACCAAGAAACAGCAACACUAAUCCUGAACUCUAUUUCAGGACUUCUUUUAAAUGAAAAAAAAAAAAAAUAAU
rnacentral:lncRNA from 10 species